ACGAACGCUGGCGGCGUGCUUAACACAUGCAAGUCGAGCGUAAGGCCCUUUCGGGGGUACACGAGCGGCGAACGGGUGAGUAACACGUGGGUGACCUGCCCUCAGCUCUGGGAUAAGCCUGGAAACCGGGUCUAAUACUGGAUAUGACUCCAUGACGCAUGUUGUGGGGUGAAAGCCUUGUGCGGCUGAGGAUGGGCCCGCGGCCUAUCAGCUUGUU
rnacentral:rRNA from 1 species